rnacentral:rRNA from 1 species
UACGUAGGGUGCAAGCGUUAAUCGGAAUUACUGGGCGUAAAGCGUGCGCAGGCGGUUAUAUAAGACAGUUGUGAAAUCCCCGGGCUCAACCUGGGAAUUGCGAUGGAGACUGCAAGGCUAGAAUCUGGCAGAGGGGGGUAGAAGUUCCACGGUGUAGCAGUGAAAUGCGUAGAGAUGUGGAGGAACACCGAUGGCGAAGGCAGCCCCCUGGGUCAAGAUUGACGCUCAUGCACGAAAGCGUGGGGAGCAAACAGG